UGUGCCCCUCCCCACUCGCUCUAUUUCUGUCUCUCUCAAAAUAAAUAAAUAAAACAUUAAAAAAAUAAAUAAAAAUAUCACUUAGUUACCUAGGUAACCAUUUUCCAUAAAGGAGAACAAAACCUAGUUCUCCACUUCUUGUCCCCCUUUGUCCCAACUUAGCGCAUUACCGCUGCCCACGAGCAUCUGCGUCCGGUUCUCUCCAGGACUGAGAACGAGUUGCCUUUUCCUCUGCGGGGGCAGCCGGUCCUCAAGGCUGGCCUCCCCACACCUGAGGAGCACCCGCCCCUCACUCCCCAGGCUGUCUCACAUCCUGAGGGAAUGUACUCGGUGACCCUGCAGGACCCUGUUCUUCCGUCCCUGCGCAGCUAACUGUGCUAACGCGGGACUGAUCUGCACUUCUGCUCGUCUGGCCCUCUUCUUACUGGACGCAUGUUUCCAGGUGCACGAUGGACACCUCCACAGGAUUGUCCCACAGAUACCUCAGAUGCAAGAAGGCGAGGAACGAACUCACCGUCUUCCUCUCUUAAGUGCGCGCAUCUUCCAGGAUUUCCCAUGUCAGGCGGGGGUGCUACAGCCCGUCCAGAGGCCCGCGACAGGAAACCUGGUGUCUUUCUGGACUCUGCCUCACCUCCAGGUUCUAGGCCGACUAGGCCAGAGUUCACCUGUCUCUUGAGUCAGUAGUGCCCCUCACCGGCUUGGCCGCCCCCGUCCGGGCCCACAGCUCUCUUGCCUGGACCACGCAGUGGCUGAUCCAUUAGUCUCCUUGCUUGCGUCUCUUCUCCCUUGACACUUUCUCCAGAUCAACGGAAGUGGGACUCUGACCACACGCUCCUCUGUAGAAAUGCCUCUGUGACUCCUGAUUCGGUGGGAAUCACGCCCAAACUCCUGUCGGGGCAUGCAAAGUUGGUUCCGUCGCCUGGGCCCCAUUUCUUGCCACUUGAGAUCUAGAAGUACCGAGCAACUUCUGUCCCCUGGCAUUUGCAUGCUGGUCAUGCCUGUGGCCUUGAUAGGUAAGGGUCCCUUUGCCAGGGACACCUGCUGACUUCUCAUCUGACAAGCUCCUAUUCAUCCUGCAAAACCCUCAAGGUCACCACAGCUUUCUCCCAAGACAGAUUCUUCCUUGAGACACAAUCAGUGGGGCUCCGCUAAAGUGCAUGCAGACCUCUGUCACUUCCCCCAUUACUCUGUUGUCAUGACUGCUCUUUGGCUGCUCUCCACUUCCUCCGGCAGGAACUGCUUUUGUACCACCCACUUUCUAGCACGCUGUAUAGCAAAUAGUAGCCUCUCGAUAAAUGUGUUGAGACCUCAAAUUAUCCUAGGGAGGUUCAAAGAAGCAUAAGUCCGUGGUUGUGGUCCACAGGCCUCUUCACAGCUAAUAAUGGUCAAAGAGAAAAACCUGACAGGGACCCAAGAGACAUACAGAUCUUUUCUCCCCUUUCCCAGGGUGGUUGACCGCUCUUGAAUGUCCUUUUUCGAAAAGAAGAGCUGAGCUUGAUUUGGCUCAGUCAUUUACUGACCCUGAGCCUCCCUGAGCUUUGGGAAGGAAGCAAGGAUCCGAUAGGAUGAUGCAGCCGAGAGCCCCAAGUGAACAUUGGGGGCACUGGGGGUCUCCACGCCGGUGAGCGCCUGUCCUCUCUGUGGGUGAUGUGUGAGAGUGACGUAGGCCUCCGCGCGUGCGCAGAGCUGUUUGUAGGGGCAAAAGGGCCGCCCUGGAGUCCCGGAUGCGGUUUCAGUCUGCAGGGGGUAAGGGCGGUGGUAGCUGUGUUUGUUUACCGGGGCGAUAGCCGAAGAAGGUGACAGCGCUCCUUUGGGGAUGUCUAAGAUUGGGUAUGUGAUGGAGCCACAAAGUUGAGGCCACAAAGGGGACUCCAUUUUGGCUCAGGGCAUUUGUCAGCAACUCCUGGGUGGGAGUGGGUGGUACUGGGAGCUGGGGGAUGGGUGGGGCCACCGUAGAGCAGGCGGGUCUCCAUCCUGUGCUUCUCCAAGUGCGGGCGGCCGUCACACACCCCGUGAAGCCUGGGCACUGGUCACACUGUGAGCCUCGGCACAAGCCAGCGGUGAUGUAUCAGCAACCUGAGAAUGUGUGUGGCCCCGAUCGGAACCAGGGCAGCAUUGGAAGGAAGUGCACAUCGGUGAGGGGCUCGGGCCCAGCAGCGGGCCUCUGCGGUGGCUGUGGGGGCGCUGAACAACACCUGAAUGGACUUUAUCCUGAAGCCAGUGUGUGUAACUCCUGCGAUUAGCUAACCAGGUGACUCACUGCUUACACUUCCUGAGUCCUCAACCUUUUUUUUUUUCCCCAGGAAGAUCCCUAUAAACUGGUCAUAAAAUAUGCCGCGUGCGGUGCCAAAUGCCUCUGCAGAUACUUGACUCCAUUCUGCAUGUUCAGAUGGCUCACCAGGCCGCAGUCACCUUCCGCUGACUCUGCUCACCUCGUGGGGUUCACCCGUGGCCGCAGCCUUUCUCCCUGACCCAGCUCUAUCUACAGGCUAGACUUUGUUCUUUUGCCCAUCCACAAACACCUUUACUCACUCACCCCUGCCCCAGCCGUGACUGAGCACCUACCGAGCCAGACCCCCUGCCCACCCCCAGGUAUAUAAACCUAACUGAGGCACAGACCCCACCUUCGAGGGCUUGUGACAGCCAACCACAGGGAGGGAGCUAAGUGCUCUGAAAGAACAAAUCCCUGGGCCCUCAGCACGGUUAUCCAUACAGACUUGCUCAGCAACUUUCAUAGAGAAAAUGCAGUAGCAUCUGGCCUGUCAUCAGUGAGUAAUAAAAUACUUAUUAUACUUAUAAAUAUACUCAGCCCCACUGAGGAUUUGCUAUCUAGAUGUGCCCUUAUUCUGAUCUAAAACACCUAAUGACCGCACAGGCUGAUGCAAAAAUAAUGGUAUUCGUUAUUUGGUUAAAACGUGACCCUGUGCAAGAUUUUUGUAGACCAGCUGUGCGGUGCAAACAGAACUUUCUUUUGAAGCCAUGUUUUGGGUAGCCCAGUGAAUUAGGAAUACUGUAACCAAGAUCAAGUGAAGAAUGGGAACCUAUCCCAGGUGCGUCUCCCACAAUGCCCCUCACCUGGGUAAACACACAUUUGCAUAUCAAUGUAUGGAUUACAGACUUCCUUUUCUGAGACCUAGGAGGUGCCCCGUUCUGCACGCAGGGGGUCCAACAGCCAACCGGCUCUCUCAAACCCGGUGCAAAAUGAGAACCAAGGACUCAGGUCUUCAGAGCCCCAGGGGCCAGUCCUAUGGAGCAGUCCUUCGCUCUGCUUUCCCUAAAAGGAGGGGACUCUGCUUUGUAACUCACCCUGCCUUCACAUGUGGGCCUGGCCUCCGGUCUCACAGGCUGCGCUGGCUUCUGCACGAGCCGGCCGGAUUUUGAAAUUACCUUUGGAGCCAGCCGUUAUAAAAAGCCCAGUACUCAGAGGGGAAGAAAGGUAGUUUUGAUGGUAGCUGAUGAGCUCACCGGGUAUGGAUGGAACUUUUCAAACAGGCCAAAUUAAAGAGCAGGCCUUGAGCCUGGGGCCUCACAGUGCUGCUGCGAGGAGCAGGUGGGAAGAGUAUCAGAUGUGUGAAGUACAGGUGACAGGUAACCCGAUCGCCGUGGCUGAGUCGCUGUGUGUGAGGCAUGGCGGGAGGCGGUGCCGGUGGGGGCAAAGCCGCGCCCCUCUCAUCUGUCUGCAGAGGGGCCAACAGGUUAACCCAAGCCUGUUCCUGCAGGGCUGACAGUGGCUGGUUGCAGCCGAUGAAAGUGGAUGUAAAUCAGUGCGGUUUCCCCCGGCGGCAGUAAUGAACCCACGGAACCUCGCUGGAAGCAGGUAGUUUUAGGAGAAUGGCGCUGGAGAUGCUGGAGGGAGAUUAGUGUUUCUCAGCUCUGUAGCAAUUUGCACAUUUCAGUGUGAAUUCAGCUCCACCUCAUUCCCAUUAAAAAAAAAAAAACCUCAUAAAUUAAAUUGCUAGGCAGGGAAAAUCGACUUUGUUUCGAUAGAGGGCCUGGGAUGCUGGUCUGCUCCGAGGGAGAGUGGGGAGGCCUGGCUCCCAGCUGAUGUCCUCAGUUUUCUGGCCUCACCGACUUCUAGAACACGUCCACCUCAAGGACCUGUGGUUCUACUCACUUUAACGAAUCAGAGGACUUCCCGAGUUCUGGGAAGGCAUCUCGUCCGUCUGCCUGAGCGGCAGCUGGUGGAUGACAUGUGAUCCUCCUUUCCAGUUGCUUGGGGUACCGGACCGGCUCCUCGAGGCCCUCUGCAUGUGGGCAGCUGGCCCAGGAUUACAGGCGGUGGGAUUAUUUGGGGGGACUAUGUGGCCCAGUGAACGAGUGCUCUGAGAGUGGCCCCUUCGUUUUGGUCAUUUUGGUCCCAGCAUCUAGGAUGAGGUGCUCAAGACCCAAGAACCAUCUGUGGAAAGAGGGAGGAAAUAACAGGAGGAAGAAAGCGAAACCUACCAGCCCUCAGCCUAAGUCCAGUUCUCUGCAGCUUGCUCAUUUCCAUCAAGCACCGGGAUGUGUCUUUAAUGGACUGAGUAAGAAGGCACCAUCUGUGAACUGGGAGGCAGACUUUCACCAGACGCUGAGUCUACUGGUGCCUUGAUCUUGGAUUUCCCAGCUUCCAGAACUGUGGGAAAUAAAUGUUUGUGGUUAAUAAGCCUCCUAGUCUAUGGUACUUUUGUUAUAACAGCCCGAACGGACUAAGCCACAGCCCUGCCAGACUAAUACCAUAACUUUAGUUCCAAAGCAGAUUAAAAUGAAAUCCCUCAGAGAUCGUUAAAUGUGUGUGUGUGUGUGUGUGUGUGUGUGUGUGUGUGCAGUAUAAACAUGUGGCAGCAACACCUCUGUGUCAUAUGCACAGACAUCCUUUGUCACCCACUAAGCACUCUGGGGAAGGACUCAGAUAAAAUGAAGAGCUUUGAGUUCCAAGUUCUGUCUCUGGCCUUGGAAUGCUCAAAGACCUUCCCAGCUGUUCUGUGUUCAAGGGUGGCUUUCAAGAGCUGGGAGGGUGGUUGGAGCUACUCCUGGGUUUCUCUGAGCCCCUCAAAGAACACUCUGAGUGCAUGAGAAACCGUCUCCACACUACCUGCAGCGGAUGCCAUGGUGCUGAGGAACAGUGGCAAAAGCACGAAUUGAAAAGAAGGAUUCUGAGCUCAGAAGUAAACCCUCACGUAUGUGGUCAACUAAUAUUUGAUGAGGGAGCCAAGAACACCCAAUGGGGAAAGGAUCAUCUUCAACAGAUGGUGUUGGGAAUACUGGAUAAACACAUGCAGAAAGAUGAAAUUGGACUUCCGUCUUCCGCUACGCACAGAAAUUAACUUGAAAUGGAUCAGAAGACCCAAAACUGUAAAGUUCCUGGAAGAAAACAUAGGGGAGAAACUCCUUGACAUUGAUCUUGCCAAUACUUUUUUGGAUAUGCACAAAUGCAAAACAAAAAAAAAAAAGCAAAAAGCAACAAGUAGGACUGCCUCAAACUUAAAAGCU